rnacentral:rRNA from 1 species
GACGAACGCUGGCGGCGUGCCUAAUACAUGCAAGUCGAGCGCAGGAAACUGACGGAACUCUUCGGAGGGAAGGCAGUGGAAUGAGCGGCGGACGGGUGAGUAACACGUAAGGAACCUGCCUCAAGGAUUGGGAUAACUCCGAGAAAUCGGAGCUAAUACCGGAUAGUUCAACGGACCGCAUGGUCCGCUGAUGAAAGGCGCUCCGGCGUCACCUUGAGAUGGCCUUGCGGUGCAUUAGCUAGUUGGGGGGGUAACGGCCCACCAAGGCGACGCUGAAUAGCCGACCUGAGAGGGUGAUCGGCCACACUGGGACUGAGACCCGGCCCAGACUCCUACGGGAGGCAGCAGUAGGGAAUCGUCCACAAUGGGCGAAAGUCUGAUGGAGCAACGCCGCGUGAGUGAUGAAGGUUUUCGGAUCGUAAAGCUCUGUUGUAAGGGAAGAACACGUACGAGAGGGAAUGCUCGUACCUUGACGGUACCUUACGAGAAAGCCACGGCUAACUACGUGCCAGCCGCCGCGGUAACAC